rnacentral:rRNA from 1 species
UACGUAGGGGGCUAGCGUUGUCCGGAAUCACUGGGCGUAAAGCGUCUGUAGGUGGUUUAAUAAGUCAACUGUUAAAUCUUGAGGCUCAACCUCAAAAUCGCAGUCGAAACUAUUAGGCUAGAGUAUAGUAGGGGUAAAGGGAAUUUCCAGUGGAGCGGUGAAAUGCGUAGAGAUUGGAAAGAACACCGAUGGCGAAGGCACUUUACUGGGCUAUUACUAACACUCAGAGACGAAAGCUAGGGUAGCAAAUGGG